CUAGAGAAAAUCCUGACUGCAAGCAUUCACACUUAUCGGUUGUUCAAAGAGCGCAUCAAAAGAUUGGCCGCUUUAUUGGGUCUGUAGCUCAGCUGGUUAGAGCACCGUCUUGAUAAGGCGGGGGUCGUUGGUUCGAGCCCAACCAGACCCACCAGAUUACUGUUGUUGGUAGUAGAUGGGGGAUUAGCUCAGCUGGGAGAGCACCUGCUUUGCAAGCAGGGGGUCGUCGGUUCGAUCCCGUCAUCCUCCACCAAUCCUUUGAUGUAGUAAGAAGUUAGAAGCAAGUGUUGUGCUGCAGUAUUUGCUUCUGGCUUUUUAAGCUGGACUGAUCUUUAACAAAAUGGAAGAAGUAAAGAGAACACAGGAACUUUGUGAUGAGGUUCUGAGUGUUCAAAUGGGUAAUUUGAUUGCUGAAAUCAAAGACAUUUGACGCGUUGGUUCGAAAGAAUUAGCGGUUCAAAUGAGUCUGAUCGUAAUGCUUGUUGCGAUUGGAUGAAGUGCUUUAGAAGACCUAUAGCGGAUGUCUCAUGCAUCAUGGGAUCUGGAUUGAAAAGGGUUCAGGUUUCAACGUUAUAG
rnacentral:misc_RNA from 1 species